rnacentral:rRNA from 1 species
UACGUAGGGUGCAAGCGUUGUCCGGAAUUAUUGGGCGUAAAGAGCUCGUAGGCGGUCUGUCGCGUCUGCUGUGAAAAUCCAGGGCUCAACCCUGGACCUGCAGUGGGUACGGGCAGACUAGAGUGCGGUAGGGGAGAUCGGAAUUCCUGGUGUAGCGGUGAGAUGCGCAGAUAUCAGGAGGAACACCGGUGGCGAAGGCGGAUCUCUGGGCCGUAACUGACGCUGAGGAGCGAAAGCAUGGGGAGCGAACAGG